CAUUUAGCUUAGUUAAUGAAUGCAGGAUUGACUAUGUCGAAUAAAGUUCUAGGUGGGUUAUGAUGAUGACAUUUCCUAUCUAUGUGUCUUGACCAAACUACGUGCCAGCAGUCGCGGUAACACGUAAUAGACUAGUGUUAUUCAUCUUUAAUAGGUUUAAAGGGUACCUAGACGGUAAAUCAAGUCCAAGAAGGGUACUAAUUUGCUAGAGUUUAAUGUGAGGGGGCACUAAAGUACUGAUAAGUGUAGAGAUGAAAUUCUGUGAUACAAUAUACGGCACUGGCAAAGGCGAAAGCAUCUCAUUAUGUAAUAACUGACGUUGAGGGACGAAGGCUAGGUGUAGCAAAAAGGAUUAGAUACCCAAGUAGUCUUAGCAGAAAAUUAUGAAUGUCAUAGGAUGGAGAAACAACAAAUUUUUUUUCUAUAAAUGAAAGUGUAAGCAUUCCACCUCGAGAGUAAUUUGGCAACAUUGGAACUGAAAUCAUUAGACCGUUUCUGAAACAAGUAGUGAAGUAUGUUGUUUAAUUUGAUGGUCCGCAAAAAACCUUACCACAAUUUGAAUAGAAAUUUUUUUUUCAUACAAGCGCUGCACGGUUGUCUUCAGUUAAUGUCGUGAGAUCUUGGUUAGUUCCAUUAAAUUAACGUAAACCCUUACUUUAUUUUGAUAUAGAGUAGUUCACCGCUAGAUUGGAUGUGAUAACAGGGACUAAGACAAGUCAUCAUGGCCUUAAUAUUGUGGGCUAUAGACGUGCCACAUAUGCCUUACAAAGGGAUGCAAAAUUGCGAAAUUGAGCUAAU
rnacentral:rRNA from 1 species